AUGAACGCUGGCGGCGUGCCUAAUACAUGCAAGUCGAGCGAACGGACGAGAAGCUUGCUUCUCUGAUGUUAGCGGCGGACGGGUGAGUAACACGUGGAUAACCUACCUAUAAGACUGGGAUAACUUCGGGAAACCGGAGCUAAUACCGGAUAAUAUUUUGAACCGCAUGGUUCAAAAGUGAAAGACGGUCUUGCUGUCACUUAUAGAUGGAUCCGCGCUGCAUUAGCUAGUUGGUAAGGUAACGGCUUACCAAGGCAACGAUGCAUAGCCUACCUGAGAGGGGGAUCGGCCACACUGGAACUGAGACACGGUCCAGACUCCUACGGGAGGGCGCAGUAGGGAAUCUUCCGCAAUGGGCGAAAGCCUGACGGAGCAACGCCGCGUGAGUGAUGAAGGUCUUCGGAUCGUAAAACUCUGUUAUUAGGGAAGAACAUAUGUGUAAGUAACUGUGCACAUCUUGACGGUACCUAAUCAGAAAGCCACGGCUAACUACGU
rnacentral:rRNA from 1 species